GUACCUACGGGAGGCAGCAGUCGGGAAUAUUGCGCAAUGGAGGAAACUCUGACGCAGUGACGCCGCGUGCAGGAAGAAGGUUUUCGGAUUGUAAACUGCUUUAGACAGGGAAGAAACAAGACAGUACCUGUAAAAUAAGCUCCGGCUAACUACGUGCCAGCAGCCGCGGUAAUACGUAGGGAGCAAGCGUUAUCCGGAUUUAUUGGGUGGAAAGGGAGCGUAGACGGGAGGGCAAGUUAUUU
rnacentral:rRNA from 1 species